AUGAACGCUGGCGGCGUGCCUAAUACAUGCAAGUCGAGCGAACGGACGAGAAGCUUGCUUCUCUGAUGUUAGCGGCGGACGGGUGAGUAACACGUGGAUAACCUACCUAUAAGACUGGGAUAACUUCGGGAAACCGGAGCUAAUACCGGAUAAUAUUUUGAACCGCAUGGUUCAAAAGUGAAAGACGGUCUUGCUGUCACUUAUAGAUGGAUCCGCGCUGCAUUAGCUAGUUGGUAAGGUAACGGCUUACCAAGGCAACGAUGCAUAGCCGACCUGAGAGGGUGAUCGGCCACACUGGAACUGAGACACGGUCCAGACUCCUACGGGAGGCAGCAGUAGGGAAUCUUCCGCAAUGGGCGAAAGCCUGACGGAGCAACGCCGCGUGAGUGAUGAAGGUCUUCGGAUCGUAAAACUCUGUUAUUAGGGAAGAACAUAUGUGUAAGUAACUGUGCACAUCUUGACGGUAUCUAAUCAGAAAGCCACGGCUAACUACGUG
rnacentral:rRNA from 1 species